rnacentral:tRNA from 1 species
ACUUUCAAAGGAUAACAGCCAUCCACUAAUCUUAGGCAUUAGCCACCCUUGGUGCAACCCCAAGUGAAAGUU